rnacentral:rRNA from 1 species
AACGAACGCUGGCGGCAGGCCUAACACAUGCAAGUCGAGCGAUACCAGCGAAUGGUGGAGCGGCAGACGGGUGAGUAACACGUGGGAACGUACCCUUCGGUUCGGAAUAACUCAGGGAAACUUGAGCUAAUACCGGAUACGUCCGAGAGGAGAAAGAUUUAUCGCCGAAGGAUCGGCCCGGCGUCUGAUUAGCUAGUUGGUGAGGUAAUGGCUCACCAAGGCGACGAUCAGAGCUGGUCUGAGAGGAUGAU